rnacentral:misc_RNA from 1 species
GAUGAAGAACGUAGCGAAAUGCGAUACGUAAUGUGAAUUGCAGAAUUCAGUGAAUCAUCGAGUCUUUGAACGCACAUUGCGCCCCCUGGUAUUCCGGGGGGCAUGCCUGUCCGAGCGUCAUUGCUGCCCUCAAGCACGGCUUGUGUGUUGAGCCUCCGUCCUCCUCCCGGGGGACGGGCCCGAAAGGCAGCGGCGGCACCGCGUCCGGUCCUCGAGCGUAUGGGGCUUCGUCACCCGCUCUUGUAGGCCCGGCCGGCGCUUGCCGACACAUCAAUCUUUUUUCCAGGUUGACCUCGGAUCAGGUAGGGAUACCCGCUGAACUUAAGCAUAUCAAUAAGCGGAGGA